AGUGAACGCUGGCGGUAGGCCUAACACAUGCAAGUCGAACGGCAGCACAGUAAGAGCUUGCUCUUACGGGUGGCGAGUGGCGGACGGGUGAGGAAUACAUCGGAAUCUACUUUUUCGUGGGGGAUAACGUAGGGAAACUUACGCUAAUACCGCAUACGACCUACGGGUGAAAGCAGGGGAUCUUCGGACCUUGCGCGAUUGAAUGAGCCGAUGUCGGAUUAGCUAGUUGGCGGGGUAAAGGCCCACCAAGGCGACGAUCCGUAGCUGGUCUGAGAGGAUGAUCAGCCAAACUGGAACUGGGACACGGUCCAGACUUCUACGGGAGGCAGCAGUGGGGAAUAUUUGACAAUGGGCGCAAGCCUGAUCCAGCCAUACCGCGUGGGUGAAGAAGGCCUUCGGGUUGGUAAGCCCUUUUGUUGGGAAAGAAAAGCAGCAGGUUAAUACCCCGCUGUUCUGACGGUACCCAAAGAAUAAGCACCGGCUAACUUCGUGC
rnacentral:rRNA from 1 species